UACGAAGGGGGCUAGCGUUGUUCGGAAUUACUGGGCGUAAAGCGCGCGCAGGCGGUUUUGUAAGUUGGGGGUGAAAUCCCCGGGCUCAACCCGGGAAUGGCCUUCAAGACUGCAAAGCUAGAGGACGAGAGAGGUGAGUGGAAUUCCCAGUGUAGAGGUGAAAUUCGUAGAUAUUGGGAAGAACACCGGUGGCGAAGGCGGCUCACUGGCUCGUUUCUGACGCUGAGGCGCGACAGCGUGGGGAGCAAACAGG
rnacentral:rRNA from 1 species